rnacentral:rRNA from 1 species
AUGGACAGCAAAAAGAAGAGGAACAGGAAGAAGAAGGGAAACCAAGGGAAGAAUACUGGUGAUGCGGUGACCAAUGCCGAUGAAGCUGUUCCUCACAGCCACAAUGAUGAUUUGGCUCCAAAAGAAAAUUAUAGUGGUGCUGAUGCAGAUGAUGCAGUGUCCAGUGUUGGAGAUGCAGUGUCCAGUGUUGGAGAGGGAACACAGUACCAGAAUCACGAGCAGACUCCGCAUGCAAAGCAGAAUGUUGCAAACGCUGAUGAAACCAUAUCGUCGUCUGUUGGUGAGGUGAUUCCAUGCGACGAGAAUCACGAACCUACCAUGACACAGGAGAAUCACAAGGCCAGUAAUACAGUCUAUGCAGAUCAGAUGAGCAUUGGGAUUUCAGAUUCUACCAUGGAACUUGGCAAGGACCGACUUUUUGAAUCAAAGCUUGAUAAAUUACACGAUACAAUAAAGCAAUUGGAAGAUGAGAAAGGUUUAUGGCUUCAAAAAGUGAACGAGAUGGAGAGCGAACUUGAAAAGUUGCAUAACAAAGUGGGUUAUCAUGCACAAAAUGAGGUCAUUUUGGAGGAAAAACUUAAUAAUCUACAGAAUGGGUACGAUAUGCUGGUUAAAAAGGAGGAAGUUUUGGAUAACAAAGUCAAGUGCGUAGAGGAUGUCAAUGGUGUCCUAACUCAUCAGGAGACUUCUCUUAAAGAAAGAUUAAGUUUGCUGGAGGAAACCAACAAAGCAUUACAGGAGCAGGUGAAGGUAUUGGAUGAAACUUCAAAAAGUACUGUUGAGGAAAAUCAGCGGUUGGUGGUAAGUGUGGAUGAAUUGGAGUCAAGAUUACAAACCCUUGAAGCAAAGAUUGCACUUACUGAAGCCUCCAUUACUAAAGAGGUUCCUGAAAAUGAGGUGAUGAAUCAAACAGAUCUGUCCGGUUCAUUUCUCCAUAAGCAGACCACUGAUUUUACGACCGUGAUCAGUAAAGGUAACGAACUUGCUGCUGAUAGAGGUCUGAACAGUUCGCUGGCAGUUACUUCGGACAAUAUCUACAGUCAUGUCAGCAACAUUCCUGUUGGUGCCUAUUCUAGUGAUCAUGCAGAUGAAACUUCGGUGUACGUUGCAGAAGCAACGAGCAGCAAUGGUGCUGGCCAGAGCCUCAUGAACGCAAAUGCAUGCCAAGGAUUUGAUGAACCAAGAACAAGUGGUGAAAUCGUGCCGGUUCCGUUGGAUGAUAUACUGAUUCAUGAAGAUGAUCCACAGACAGCUGAGGAGGUUCCAUUUACUGAUGCCCCCAUUGUUGGCGCACCCUUCCGGUUGAUCUCGUUUGUUGCUAGGUAUGUCAGUGGUGCAGACUUGGUGAACCAAAAGUAA